UCUGGGUAAUUAUUUAUAACCAAGGGAUAUAAAUAAAUUUCAAAAAGCUGAGAGAAAUUUAUGUGCAAGAAUUGAAGAUUCUGCAUUCUUCCUCCUUCAGUGAAUAAAUUGCAGUCCCUGGUGAGGAGACAACCAAAAUGUCUACUGGAACAGAUGUCAAGAA